CACGCCACCGAAACACGGGAGAGGAUAUGUCGGGCUAGGGGCGUGCAAUGUGCUGCUGCAAGCCGGCCACCAGCACGCGCAGUUCCACUCACUUCUCCACAUCGCCGCUGUCGCGCAUCUCCAGAGGCGCUUGCUCAAGGAUGUGUAUAGCAUGUUGAUCUGCUGGACAAUCAGUGUUUCAUGCUUCAGGGCCAGUGACGGGCAGAACAGAGGGAGGCUGCUUGGAUGUCUAGACAACAAUGAUAGCCAGUAGAGGCGGAGUGAAGAAAACUUGAGACUUAUUAUGCAGCACAAAUAAUAGAAGUGACAUUGGAAGGGUGACCUGGGUUUGCACCUUUGUCCUCCAUGGCGGGCGGCGGCAUGGCGGUGCUGUAGUUGGUGGUGGUGAGGUGGAUCUGCGACCAGCCGGCCCUCUUCAUCGACAUUCCCCGUCUCCUGCCGGCUUCCAGGUAUUCCCUAAUCUAUAAACUAUUUUGAUGCCUAUUUCUUCCUCUUAAGUUUCCAACAACUGAAGUGGUAUUGUAUGAACUUUGAAUCGAACAGAUAACUUUUUAAGAAGUAGCAUUUUGAGGUGUAGAUUUUGCAUCUACAUCCGAAAGGCUGUAUAGAAGUGUUAAUGUUCACAGUUUAGGUUACCAAUUCCAUCUCAACUUAUCAACAGUGUUGGAUCUAGAGUUUGAAGUGAGCAAAUGUCUAAUCUUCCAUUGGCUUUAAUCUGUUCCAUUUUGUUAUAAAUGUUCAGACAAGGAUUAAGGACCAAUGCUAAUGAAGAGAAGAAAAUUCAAAAAUCAAAGAAGCUAUUGAUACAACAGGAAAGAAAUUAAGAUAAUUUACCUGUA